rnacentral:misc_RNA from 1 species
GGCACUGUAAAAUCUGCCUGGAGAGGCAGCAGCUUGCUUGGCGUGGGUCUUUCCUGGGGAAAGGUUAGUAAUGGAUCGGGAAGGAAUAGAAUGACCCUUAUGCAACUUGAAGUCAGGGAUUCUUAAGAAUAUUGCAUUAAUAUCACAACGAAUGCUGUCUAAUAUUGACUUAAAUAUCUCAUUUUGUUCCAAAAGUGCCCUUUGGAUUCCUAAGCAUAGUCUGCAUCUUUGGUUUAAUACAUAAUACGCUGCUUUUCAAACAGCUUAAAUGAAUGACAAACUGUGAUAAUGCAGGAACUGCAUUCCAGGGUAACAAGUGAUUAUUAAAGUAGCUCAAAAUGUUGGAUAUUUCUGUACUCUGUUUCACCACAUUGUCUAUCGCCAUCUAUUUGCCUUCUCUUGUUCUAUUUUCCUGGUUUGCUCUUAUAGUUGGUAAUCAUUUGUUCAAAACAACGUCAAAACGUCUUUACUGAAUGUACACGUUGAACUUCAAAUUCAGAUGUAACCCACGUGAUUAUCUAUCUGACAGAAGAAAUUUUGGACUUAGGAUGUUGAUUUUGGACUUUCAAAAGGCU